GAUGAACGCUGGCGGCGUGCCUAAUACAUGCAAGUCGAGCGAAUGGAUUAAGAGCCUGCUCUUAUGAAGUUAGCGGCGGACGGGUGAGUAACACGUGGGUAACCUGCCCAUAAGACUGGGAUAACUCCGGGAAACCGGGGCUAAUACCGGAUAACAUUUUGAACCGCAUGGUUCGAAAUUGAAAGGCGGCUUCGGCUGUCACUUAUGGAUGGACCCGCGUCGCAUUAGCUAGUUGGUGAGGUAACGGCUCACCAAGGCAACGAUGCGUAGCCGACCGGAGAGGGUGAUCGGCCACACUGGGACUGAGACACGGCCCAGACUCCUACGGGAGGCAGCAGUAGGGAAUCUUCCGCAAUGGACGAAAGUCUGACGGAGCAACGCCGCGUGAGUGAUGAAGGCUCUCGGGUCGUAAAACUCUGUUGUUAGGGAAGAACAAGUGCUAGUUGAAUAAGCUGGCACCUUGACGGUACCUAACCAGAAAGCCACGGCUAACUACGUGCCAGCCGCCGCCGUAA
rnacentral:rRNA from 1 species